AAUAGAUACCCCGGUAGUCCACGCCGUAAACGGUGGGCACUAGGUGUGGGCGACAUUCCACGUCGUCCGUGCCGCAGCUAACGCAUUAAGUGCCCCGCCUGGGGAGUACGGCCGCAAGGCUAAAACUCGAAGGAAUUGACGGGGGGCCCGCACAAGCGGCGGAGCAUGUGGCUUAAUUCGACGCAACGCGAAGAACCUUACCAAGGCUUGACAUACACCGGAAACGUCCAGAGAUGGGCGCCCCCUUGUGGUCGGUGUACAGGUGGUGCAUGGCUGUCGUCAGCUCGUGUCGUGAGAUGUUGGGUUAAGUCCCGCAACGAGCGCAACCCUUGUCCCGUGUUGCCAGCAGGCCCUUGUGGUGCUGGGGACUCACGGGAGACCGCCGGGGUCAACGUCGGAGGAAGGUGGGGACGACGUCAAGGUCAUCAUGCCCCUUACGUCUUGGGCUGCACACGUGCUACAAUGGCCGGUACAAUGAGCUGCGAUACCGCGAGGUGGAGCGAAUCUCAAAAAGCCGGUCUCAGUUCGGAUUGGGGUCUGC
rnacentral:rRNA from 1 species